GAUGAACGCUGGCGGCGUGCCUAAUACGUGCAAGUCGAGCGAACAGAUGAGGAGCUUGCUCCUCUGACGUUAGCGGCGGACGGGUGAGUAACACGUGGAUAACCUACCUAUAAGACUGGGAUAACUUCGGGAAACCGGAGCUAAUACCGGAUAAUAUAUUGAACCGCAUGGUUCAUAGUGAAAGACGGUUUUGCUGUCACUUAUAGAUGGAUCCGCGCCGCAUUAGCUAGUUGGUAAGGUAACGGCUUACCAAGGCAACGAUGCGUAGCCGACCUGAGAGGGUGAUCGGCCACACUGGAACUGAGACACGGUCCAGACUCCUACGGGAGGCAGCAGUAGGGAAUCUUCCGCAAUGGGCGAAAGCCUGACGGAGCAACGCCGCGUGAGUGAUGAAGGUCUUCGGAUCGUAAAACUCUGUUAUUAGGGAAGAACAAAUGUGUAAGUAACUAUGCACGUCUUGACGGUACCUAAUCAGAAAGCCACGGCUAACUACGUG
rnacentral:rRNA from 1 species